rnacentral:rRNA from 1 species
GAUGAGAUAUCUCAUGCGAAAGCAAUAAGACCCCUUGAAGACGACGAGGUAGAUAGGGCAGAGGUGGAAGUGCAGUAAUGUAUGGAGCUGACUGUCACUAAUAGGUCGAAGGCUUGACCUGAGU